AGGGAAGCACGUUUCCUCUAUCUUGCGCAUGUCCAUGCGCUUCGUACGUGCGAGAGAAUCUCACCAGCUGCAACUGACUUCACUGAAAUUUCAUCGAACGUAUUGUCCUCGUCAAGGAUAUCUAAUCCUCUGUAAGCGCGGCGUUCCUUUUGAUUGUCUUCGGAUCGUGGCGCUAGUGAGAUAACGAACGCCCUCGUUGAUAUACGGGAAGGAGAGGAUGCCCAAGCGCACUACUCACACGUACUCCAGCGAGGAUGCGGCACCGGAUGGGCCAGAAUCUGAGCUUUUCGUGUACUACUGCAAGCAUUGUGGUGCUCACGUCUUGAUCACGGACACUCAGCUGCAGAAAAUGCCCAAGAGGACAGAUAAAGCUUAUGUAUUGGAUCGUACGAAGCACCUUACUCGCCUUAAUGUUGUUGAGGCUGGGAAACACUUGCUCAAGAGAGGCGAAGGGAAAGUGGAGAAACAGUAUCGCAUGAAGUGUGGCGGGUGUGGGUUAUUUGUUUGCUAUCGUUGUGAGGAAGACAUGGACGCAGGUCCUUACCUGUACGUGGCAGAUGGUGCUCUCAGCUCUGUUGCUGCAGAAACCAAUCCUCAGGAUGCACCAGUUCCACCGUGCAUAUCACAAAUAGAUGGUGGCUUGGUCCAGGUUGCUAUUGAAGUUGAGGAUCGCGCACAACGUUCACAAAUUACACGUGUGAACGCUGAUGAUGUCCGUGUAACUGUGGCCGCACCAGCAGCACGUGGUGAAGCAAACAACGAGCUUCUAGAGUACAUGGGAAAGGUCUAUUAGCUGGACGGAGACCCAACAAUUUGAAGAACAUUAUGCAUAUAUGUUUCUAGGGCGGAAUGGAUGGUGACUGGUAUAUUUAAGUUACAGGUGCUGGGACUAAGAUUGACACAAAUGACUCUCCAGCGAGGUUGGAACAAUAAAUCUAAACUUCUUGCAGUCGAAGACCUGAGUGUCCGUGAAGUCUAUGAAAAGCUUCUUGCAGCUGUGCAGAUUUGAAAGCAAAGCGAGACCAGGAAAUAUUUGUUUCCAUAUGAUCCCGGAAGUGUCGUAGAUUCGGGUGAAGAAACUUAUACUAAAGAAACAUACCCAACCGUAAAAAAAGGUUUUGGGACCCAAUAUUUGAGAUACAUCUAUAGAAUCUUCAUCCAAAGUCUGGUUAAUGAAAACUUUGCUGGUGUAAUUGCACAGCAUUCAAGAUCUUUUUUGAAGACGAGUACUAAACGGUUAUUAGCCGUUGAAAUUAUUUGAUUUAAUCGAAUUCAGAGUUGCACGAUCGUGGCUUUAAAACCCACGUUGACGUUUAGGUGUUUAUUUAAUAUCUAGGGGUAAAAUUGAAAAACUUUGAAUGUUUGUAAAUCAAAUUGGCAGCUUAUUGUUA